AGGAGAGAGAGACGGGGAGAGAGCUGGCUGGCGUGUUUUUAUUCCCACAGUUGACUUUAUUUCUGUGUUUUUUGUCCACGAAUUAAAUCAAGACGAGAGAGAGAGACGAUGCCGACAGACGACGAGUUAUCUAAGCUGGCGGAGGAGGCCUUACUACGAGAAGCGAAGAGAGGAGCACAAAGAGCCGAAACUUGUGGACCGUCGGGAUGGUUGAAAAAUAGACUUCCGUCGACAAAUAAAACCUUCCUUCAUAACACAAUUUUAGGGGCACUGGCAUCCAACAAAGCUAAAGAGAGGAAGGAAAAAAGUCAGAGUGAGCGAGGAAAGAGAAAGAGAGAGCAAGAAGAAAAGGAGAGGAACACUUAUAAAAGACUUUACAUACAUGCAAGCACCAAGGCAAAAGCUUCACUUGCAAACACAAGCAGAAAAGCUGCACAGCAUGAAGAAGGCAGCAGAGAACCCAGAGAUAAAAAUAAAAGUGAAAAGUUGAUGAUAUGGAGUGAAAAUGGCUUGGAAAUUUCAUCGAGCAAUAGAGGCACAGAAAAGAAGAAAUCAAAAGACAGUAAGAACGCUAUAAAUGAUGUCUCAUCAAAGAAGGACAGAUCAAAAAUUUUAUCGAGAAAUAUCAAUUUUGUCUCAAGUACUUUGGAGGAUGAGACUGAAACAUAAUGAAUAUGAAACCUUGUGAAUGCCCUUCCCCAUAUACAAAAUAUUUUUAAUAUAUGAAUAAAUUUUCUACCAUUAUCCAUUAGUGAAUAGAAGUGUUUUUUCAAAGUGUAACAGGGAAUAAAAUCAAGUAAACAGAUUGAAACAUAUUUUUGAAAUGAGUGCACAUACAAUAUAUUUCUCUUGGACAUUUUUCUCCACACAAGAAUCAAUUUUUUUUUUUUUGAGAGUUUUAUGUGUGCAAAGAACCAAGAUUAAGGUGGUACAUGAGGAAAAACUGGCUCAGAUAUAACCCCAGUCUUCAGACCUUCACGAUCUGGAGUCACGUAAAACCGCAAUGUCCAGAAAGCUCAAGUGUUCUGCCAUUAGCAUCUUGAAAAUCUUCAGCAGCACAAAAUCUGCAGCGAGACAGACAGAUGUGUUCCAAACUCUCAGAAGAAUAUUUAUUUAUUCAGUAAAGGCUGGAUAAAGUGUGCACAAAAACCCAUAUUACGCUUGUCCAAAAUGAUCUUCCCAAAGCACACAAUAGCAAAGGUAGUCCAGUUACCUAAGCUACAAGUGCUUAUUACCUUUGGACAUCUAGCUUUGGAAACCAGUUAGCAUUUUCUGAUUGCUCAGAUGCUACUCAGGGUAUAUACAAUGCAAGAGUACCCAGGUUAAUAAUAACAUAUAUCAGGAGACAGUGAAGUUACCUACAGGCAGUGCUUUAACCUUGGAGAUCAGGGAUUGCUUUUGUGAAAUGCAUGACCUGCUUGGAUGUUACAGUCAUCCAAGCCUUUAGAGACUAGUGUAAAUUAUACAAGCAUAGGAAGGGAUAUUAUUCAGUUAAAGCCAGAUUGUGCAAGGACCUUAAUGAAAAACAUCCCUGCCAAGCACUAGAAAGGGAGAUAAUUAAAGGAAGAGAUUCCCCAAGACAGAAGAACCUGCUAUUGUUAAUGAUAUGCAUUUUUAAAGUUUCACAAUAAAUGGACCAAAGCUGUUUAAUAUUGUGCUGAAGAAUACUAGAGACCACUGCAUGCACUAAGUGGGGGAUUCAAAGAAAAUUCAAUGAAAUUUGAUGUUAGAGGAACUACCAGCAAAGGCUGAACCAAAUUGUUCAGUUCAGUUCUUAGCAGCUAAUAGACAAAACAAUACCCAAGAGGGUCUUCACAUGAGUCACUAGUGAGAACUCCCCAACUAGAGCACACACCAAAUGCUCAUACCCACAAAGCCGUCAAAAGUGGUUUGUCAGCCUUCUCAGGAGGUGUCUUGCCUUCCUGGUGAAAAGGAUGCAGAUGGUACUCUUCAGCACCAAAGAGAUCACUAUGACCACUGCUGUCCUCCACAACAUGGUCAUUCAGCAGAACGUUUCCCCUGCUUGAGGGAAUAGAUGGCCAGCACUCCAACAGAAAGGCAAGAAUGAUAUCUCAAAUUUAACCUACUAGCUUAUGGAUGACAUGACAUACAUACCAUGUCCACUGUAAUUUUAGUUUAUUUAUGUGUUUAUACAUAAUAAACUUCAAUCAGUGAUCAAGAUCUCAAAGGAACACCUGGAACAGCAUGAAGUUUCUUGCCACUUGGCAACAGCUGCUGGAACAUCAGCAACAGAAUUGCUGCCUUGCAUUUGGUCAUGAGAGACAUAUAAGGUCAUUGGUCACAGCUGGUCAAUACUGAACUAUUUGUCCUUGAUGAUGAUGUGUUUGUACACAGAUGGUUCCACAAUUGCUUAGUUAUCAAGGAGUCAGUUAUCUCACCCAUUUACCUUUUUCCUUAUUUUAUUGUUAUUAGUAUUUUAAUAACAUUAUAGUAAUCAUUACAUUAAAAAAAAAAACAAUAACAGCAUUGGUGUUAAAAGCAUUAGAAAAAGAAUGAGACAUGGUCACUAGGGCCUUUUAAUUAACUUUAUAGUGGCAGAGUACUUGUGGAGCCAUCUGUGAGCAACAAAAUUCACCAAAAAACUACAGUGGACAGUACAUGUACCUGUGGUUGAUGGGUUAAGCCCAGGAAAAGAAUUGUUAUCAGAGAAGAGAGGAAUUCUGAGAGAUAAGGUAUUGGUAGCAAAUUUUUCUAGAUACGCGUCCAAGUAUAGUGUGUCAUUUCUGUGGCGGCACUGUAUUGUGCCACUACAUUAUUUUAAAUUCUUUACUGAGUAUUAUUUUGUACUGAGUUUGAAUACUGACAUUUUUUAUAAAAAGAUUGUUAUCUAAUACUUAAUUCUUUUAUACAUUUAUAACAUACUCUAAUUUAAAGUUUUAUUACAAUCACAACAUAAUGAAUUGAUAUGAAGAAACAAAAACUUGACAUGUGACACUUGUCUGCUUGUAUUCAACUGCACAUUUGGUCAUAGAAACAACUGGGUUAUAAUAAAAUGACAAAAAUAUAAAUUAUUGAAUGUAUGUGUUCCUUUCCUGCAUUCCCUUUGUAUUAACAGAAUCUUGUGAUUUGUUAAUAGCAGUUCAGCUGUAUAUAUAU